rnacentral:lncRNA from 1 species
CUGGGGUCCUUCGCCCACAGCUGUUUCUCCAUGAAUUGGUAACCUUCUUGGAUGGAGUCCUGGCAAGAUAAUUCAAGCACAGGAGGAAGAGGAAGAAACCAGAUUGGAAAUGCAGAACACCAGUUCCCUGCUGUCAUAUAAGUAUUUCCUGUGUAGAUGGUGAACUACAUUUUAAAAGAUUUAUUAUUUAUUUGUGUAUCUAUGUAUGUAUGUAUGUAUGUAUGUAUUUUGGG